rnacentral:rRNA from 1 species
GAGUUUGAUUAUGGCUCAGGACGAACGCUGGCGGCGUGCUUAACACAUGCAAGUCGAACGUGAUUUUUGUGGAAAUUCUUUCGGGAAUGGAAGCGAAAUGAAAGUGGCGAACGGGUGAGUAACACGUGAGCAACCUACCUUACACAGGGGGAUAGCCGUUGGAAACGACGAUUAAUACCGCAUGAGACCACAGUAUCGCAUGGUAUAGGGGUCAAAGAUUUAUCGGUGUAAGAUGGGCUCGCGUCUGAUUAGCUAGUUGGAAGGGUAAAGGCCUACCAAGGCGACGAUCAGUAGCCGGUCUGAGAGGAUGAACGGCCACAUUGGAACUGAGACACGGUCCAAACUCCUACGGGAGGCAGCAGUGGGGAAUAUUGCACAAUGGGGGGAACCCUGAUGCAGCGACGCCGCGUGAGCGAAGAAGGUUUUCGAAUCGUAAAGCUCUGUCCUAUGAGAAGAUAA